UCGAGAGGAUCGAUGUUGGUACGAGUCGCGCGUCGCCGCACCGAUUCGAAAAGCCGAGUGUGCGCAGUGUGGGUGCAGUGGAUUUCCAAUAGAAUUAAGCAAGAUCAAUAGUGAAUAGUCCGACGAGACGGUGACGCGGAUCUCCAUUUAUGCAAUUACUCGUCGCGCGUGUCGCCGCGUGCGUGGAUCCGCUGCAGUUCGGAGGAGCACGAGGAGAGACAGAAAGAAGCGAAAGAAAGGAGAGCCGGUAAGAGCCGUGGAAUCAAUCUCGCGCGAAACCCCGCAUCUUCGCGGAUCUACGCUCGACUCGCCGCUCGACGAUUGACCGACAUCGCGAUUCACAGUGACGGCAGUGUGCGUGCGUGUGUGUGUGUGUCCUCCUUAAAACUGCAGUGAGCGACGCGAUAUUGCGACUGCUCUAUCGCGGUAACAGUGCCAAGUAUUGCGCGCGCACGCGCGUGUGUGUAUGUGUGCGUACGACAGCGAGGUGAUAACGAGAUUCCCUUUCAAGUGCCGGCGCGAGAGAGGACUCUCGCGCGAUUACCCUCGCGCGACCGGCGACCCGCGACGUCGCCGACGGCAGUUCGCCUCGUGCUGGUCGCACGGACGGGCGGACGGAAAGGAUGCGAUUAGCGCGACGACGACGACGAUUCGCCGUUGCGGCAUCGUGAAGCCCUUCGCGGUGCAAUUGGCGUAAUGCGGCGCUCCUCGCGCGCUAUCGGGAGCGAGCGAGAAUAAAGGAGGAAAGAGAGGCCCCGCGGAACAACGAUCGCUGCGCGAAAUCGACGCUUCGAGAAAUCGACCGCUUCGAGCCGACCGGUGUCACGAAGGAAACGCAAUCGGUGUACCGCGAAGCGAGCUAUCGCCGUAAAUUGCAGCGUUCGGAGCGCGGCGCGCGAUAACGGCACACCGCUCUCGGCUCUCCGGCGAUGUAGCAGCCUGGCAAAAAAGCGCGGCGGAAACGUACAAUAACGCUCUCUCGCCCGUCGCUCUAAUUGGAAGCGACGCCGCUCGCGAGCGAGCGAGCGAGCGAGCGAGCCACGAGGAAGUCGCAGAAUCUAACGGUCACUUCUCCCACGCCCCACGGUAGGAUGCGAUCGAGGGCGCCGCGCGACACGACGGAAAAUGAGCGAUGAAAGCGUUCUGAGGAGCCAAAGCGGCAUUCCCUACGCCGACGAGGAUGCGCCCGGCGCAGAGGACGUCGCUUGUCGGCCGGUCGCUUCAUGGCUCACGUCGAAGGGGUUGACGAACGCCGAGGAGGACGCGUGUUCGCGAAACGUGCAGAGUUUCACGACCUUCCGAACUUCCGGCCCAACGGGAGGCAUCGCGAGGCGGAAAUUUUCGUUGACCGACGACGGCGGUGGUGG